CACGUAGGAGGCGAGCGUUGUUCGGAAUCACUGGGCGUAAAGCGCACGUAGGCGGCUUCUUAAGUCAGGGGUGAAAUCCUGGAGCUCAACUCCAGAACUGCCUUUGAUACUGAGGAGCUUGAGUCCGGGAGAGGUGAGUGGAACUGCGAGUGUAGAGGUGAAAUUCGUAGAUAUUCGCAAGAACACCAGUGGCGAAGGCGGCUCACUGGCCCGGUACUGACGCUGAGGUGCGAAAGCGUGGGGAGCAAACAGG
rnacentral:rRNA from 1 species